GACGAACGCUGGCGGCGUGCUUAACACAUGCAAGUCGAACGGAAAGGCUCCAGCUUGCUGGUGUACUCGAUUGGCGAACGCGUGCGUAACACGUGGGUAAUCUGCCCUGCACUCUGGUAUAAGCCUGGGAAACUGGGUCUACUACUGGAUAUGACCUUUCUCCUUAUGGGGUUUGGUGGAACGUUUUUCGGUGUAGGAUGAGCCCGCGGGCUAUCAGCUUGUUGGUGGGGUGAUGGCCGACCAAGGCGACGAAGGGUAGCCUGCCUGAGAGGGUGAUCAGGCACAAGGGGACUGAGAGACGGCGCAGAGGGCAACGGGAGGCAGCAGGCGGGAAUAUGGCACAAUGGGCGGAAGCCGGAGGCAGCGACGCCGGGUGAGGGAUGACGGCCUGCGGGUUGUAAACAUCUGUAAGCAGGGACGAAGCGUAAGUGACGGUACCUGCAGAAGAAGCACCGGCUAACUAUGUG
rnacentral:rRNA from 1 species